rnacentral:lncRNA from 1 species
AUAAGUAUCUUGGACAAGGUCACAAAGCUGGUGGUGGAGUUUGGAUUUGAAACCUGGUGAUAUGGCUGUGGAGCCUGUGUUAUUAUCUUGUAAUCAGUAGCACGAAGCAGAAGACCUGGUUCCUGCCCUCAAAUAGCCUGUUGUCUAGUUGCAGUGACAAGUCUCAAACACAUGUAAAGAUAUAUAAUGUAUAUUUUUUAAGAUUGUAGACAGUAAAUAAAUGCUGUAAGUAGAAAUAUUCAUCUAUUUAUUUGCCUAGGUUGACUAGCAAGGCAAUCCUGACUGGCAUAAUCAGGAUUCUAGACUCUGGCCAUAUUGUUGUGUAAUAUUGAACAUCUGGGAUGGGCUGUGCACUGUGCAUUUGCACCCUCCAUGAGUAAGAUUUAAAGAAACACCAUUCUUUUAGUCAUUACCUUUUAAAAAACACUUUUAACCAUGUACAGGUAGUUAUAUUGAAUAGUUUAUUAAAAUUGUCUCACUUAUUUCUGAAAUCUAUUUAAAUAAAAAUGUGGGAAAGCUCAAGAGUGAGUACACUUUACAACCUGGCUGCCUUUUUCAGAUUUCUACUUGCAUUACUGUUUGGAAGUUGUUCUUCAUAUUCCAUGGGAGAUGAUGGGGAGUGGAAAGAUAAGAAGGGAGCAGUGACAUUCAUUCAAUUCCUGUAAAUGACUUUUAUUAACAUUGUUCUGAUGCUUCAGGUUUGUGCUCAGAAACAGGGUGUGUCAUUCAUUACAUAGCAUGCUGUCAUGUCCAGUCUGCUGCCUCAUGACUUCUCUGAGUAAAACUGACUCAGUCAGUGGUUUGAGGCUUGGCCUUCAGCACAAGAGAAGCAAACACCCACUUAUAGCAGCUAGAUUAAUACUGUCUUUCUUUCUGAAAUACUUAAGGAGACCGAUGAUUAACAGCAAAAACAAUAGCCAACGCCAUAGACAUUUCAGCUGGUUCAUUUUACACAAUUCUGACUCUGCUCAGUGGGUGCCAAAACUGUUGCUCCCAGAUCAAUUGCAGACAAGAGCAGAGCUUUCACUGGAAAUUUCAAACAGGUGGGAUCAACAUUCUGAAGGAUUUCUUUGAAGAAUUUUAACAAUAAAUGAACAUGGUUUUACCAGUACAUCCUGAAGACAAAGUACAAUCAAAUCACUGGCUACCAAGAGUUGGAAGUGAGAGCAGAAGCAGACUGAUCAAGAACAAAGGUCAUGGCAACACUUUUUUUGGGAUACGCAAGGCAUUUUGCUCGUUGACUUUUGGGAGGGCCAAUGAAUGCCAACAUCUGCUUAUUGUAAGAGUAUUUUAAGAAAGUUAGCUAAAGCUUGAGCAGAAAAAUGCCUAGGAAAGCUUCACCAGAGAGUCCUUCUCCACCAUGAUAGUGCUCUUGCUCAUUCUUCUCAUCAAACAAGGUCAAUUUUGGGAUAGUUUUGAUGCACAUUUAUUAGGCAUCCACCCUACAGUCCUGAUUUGGCUCCUUCUGACUUUUUUAUUUCUUAAUCUUAAAACGUCUAUAAAGCGUAUCCAUUUUUCUUCAGUUAAAAAUGUAAAAAAGACUGCAUUGACAUGGUUAAUGCAGGACCCUCAGUUCUUUAAGGAUGGACUAAAUAUGUGUUAUUAUUGCCUACAGGUGUCUUGACCUUGAUGGAGCUUAUGUUGAGAAAUAAAGUUUAUACUUUCUAUUUUCAUCUAAUUCCAUUUUUUCCACAAACUUUUUGGAGUCCCCUUGUAUUUCCAGAAUACUUGUGAAUGGCUUUUUCAAAUUAAUUUGGCCUAAAUAUUAUCCCAAUUUAUUAACCUUAAUUGGAGAAUGUUGAAAAUCUUGUCUCUUCAUAAAAAAAAAAAAAAAAAAAAGCCAUUUCCGAAUACGUAGUAGCUGAAUUCCUAAGGCUAAACUGAGAAAUUCUGUAGUUUAACUACUUGAUUUACCUAUUAUAGCAAUUAUAUAAAGUAUAGAAAAGAAAUAGCAUUUUACAUAUACUAUUGUAUUAGUCCAUUUUCAUGCUGCUGAUAAAGACAUACCUGAGACUGGGCAAUUUACAAAAUAAAGAGGUUUAAUUGGACUUACAGUUCCAUGUGGCUGGGGAAGCCUCACAAUAAUGGUGGAAGGCAAGGAGGAGCAAGUCCCAUCUUACAUGGAUGGCAGUAGGCAAAGAGAGAAUGAGGAGGAUGCAAAAGUGGAAACCCCUGAUAAAACCAUCAGGUCUCAUGAGACGUAUUCACUAACACGAGAACAGUAUGGGGAAACUGCCCCCAUGAUUCAGUUAUCUCCCACCAGGUCCCUCCCACAACAUGUGGGAAUUAUGGGAGUUCAAUUCAAGAUGAGAUUUGGGUGGGGACACAGAGACAAACCAUAUCAACCGUAUGAACUCUUUGGG